UGAAAUGAUGAUAUUUUUGCUAUUCACACUGUUUGAUGGCCUCCAAGGGUCGAUGAAACGGUAAACAAAAAUCUGAUUUAAUGAGGUA
rnacentral:snoRNA from 1 species